rnacentral:tRNA from 1 species
GGAGAGGUGGCUCAGAGGUUAAGAGCACUGACUGUUCUUCCAGAGGUCCUGAGUUCGAUUCUCAGCAACCACA